GAUGAACGCUAGCUACAGGCUUAACACAUGCAAGUCGAGGGGUAACGAGAGGGAAGCUUGCUUUCCUUGUCGACGACCGGCGCACGGGUGAGUAACGCGUAUCCAACCUGCCCCCAACUAGGGAAUAACCUUGCGAAAGUAAGACUAAUACCCUAUAAUUUCCUCAGAUGCCAUCUGACGAGGAAUAAAGAUUUAUCGGUUGUGGAUGGGGAUGCGUCUGAUUAGCUUGUUGGCGGGGUAACGGCCCACCAAGGCAACGAUCAGUAGGGGUUCUGAGAGGAAGGUCCCCCACAUUGGAACUGAGACACGGUCCAAACUCCUACGGGAGGCAGCAGUGAGGAAUAUUGGUCAAUGGGCUGAAGCCUGAUCCAGCCAAGUAGCGUGCAGGAUGACGGCCCUAUGGGUUGUAAACUGCUUUUAUACAGGAAUAAAGUUAGCCACGUGUGGUUAUUUGUAGGUACUGUAUGAAUAAGGACCGGCUAAUUCCGUGCCAGCCGCCGCUGUAA
rnacentral:rRNA from 1 species